rnacentral:rRNA from 1 species
GACGUAGGGCGCGAGCGUUGUCCGGAUUUAUUGGGCGUAAAGAGCUCGUAGGCGGCUCGUUGCGUCGGCUGUGAAAACCCGCAGCUCAACUGUGGGCUUGCAGCUGAUACGGGCGGGCUGGAGUUCGGUAGGGGAGACUGGAAUUCCUGGUGUAGCGGUGAAAUGCGCAGAUAUCAGGAGGAACACCAAUGGCGAAGGCAGCUCGCUGGGACGUUACUGACGCUGAGACGCGAAAGCGUGGGGAGCAAACAGG